GCUCCUUAUAUAGGAGAUAUAGGUGUAGUAGGUGAAGUGGAGGUGGUAGUGGUGUAGGUGAAGUGGAGGUGGUAGUGGUGUAGUGGGUUAGGUUUAGUGGAGUAGGUGAGGUGGUAGUGGUGUAGGUGAAGAUAAAUUCUAACAGAUUGUUGUCAAAUUGAGUACUUGAUCAACACAGAGGAAUGGGGGGAUUUCACCACAGGCACAACAACCUGAUCUGCAAUUGUUGUUUAACCUGGAAGAAUUGAAACUCCAGAAAUUGGAUACUUUUGAAGGGAUAUGCCCAGGUGCACUUACUACUUCCAGCUGGGUGUGCUUCCCAAGGCUCAGAAGUUUGGUAGUUAACGCAUGUCCUGAAGUUUGGAGAAGCUUUUGUAUCAGCAUGUGAGAAACUGGAACAAGUAUUUGAUUUUGGUCUAUGGAAGUCCAUUCAUGUGGCAAACUGAAAUAUGUCUUCCAACCUUCCAUAGCUCAAGCUCUUUAUCUACUUGAAGUGCUUUGGGUAACUCGCUGUGAAGAAAUGGAGCAAAUUGUUGCUGCGAAGCAAAACAAAGGGCGUAAAGAAAAAGAAGAGAGAGUGGACUACAAGGUGGUUUCUGCACAGGAGGAGACGACUUUCCUUUUGAAUGACCAUCCUUGGAAAUACUUACAGUGAGAGACUGCCCCAAAAUGAAGACUUUCGCUGCCACUACUUCCUUUUGAAUCAGUUUGUGCAAAACUGUUUCAAAGCCACCAAAAGGCAAGACAGAAUAGUACUCUUGAAGAUGAAAUCCACGCUGACUCUUAAUUAGAUUGUGAACCAGCUUAUGAAUUUAUGAGGAAUAACUCUUAUGAUUGUCAACCAUAAAGAAUGUUGAGCUACUCUCUAUGGUUAUGUGAUGUCUACCUUACUUACGAUUUUAUUGUGUAAGGGCAUAUGCUUCCUAUGAUUUGUGUUUCUAAAUAAUUGUCUUGCUUUGCAAUAUCAAAACUACUACUCUAAAUAAAGGUAUGUUUAUCUAAUGUGCGCUAAAGAUUUGAAGAGUGAAUAAAGGGGGAAAAAAAGAACCCACUGUGUGUGUAAUUUUACUUUCUCUGCAUUGUAAUGGAGCUUGUAUACAAAAUUAUUUAUCUCAAUUAACAAUAUUGUACGUUUGUUUU